rnacentral:ncRNA from 1 species
UGGUCCUAGCCUUGAAGUCAGUUUUUACUUUACUUAUACAUGCAAGUCUCCGCACCCCUGUGAAAACGCCCUUAAACCCCCUUUAGGGAAAAGGAGCUGGUAUCAGGCACAACACUUAGCCCAAAACACCUAGCUACGCCACAUCCACAAGGGACCUCAGCAGUAAUUAACAUUGAACAUAAGCGCCAGCUUGAUUCAGUUAAAGUAAAAAGGGCAGGCAAAUUUGGUGCCAGCCGCCGCGGUUACACCAUGUGGCCCAAAUUGACUUCUUUCGGCGUAAAGAGUGAUUAAAGCACUUUUAUUCUGUAGUUUAACUAAAAUUAAGUCGUGAUAAGCUUGUAUUUAAGAAAUCCAAAAACGAAAGUUACUACACCCAAAACAACUUGAACUCACAAUAGCUAAGGAACAAACUAGGAUUAGAGACCCUACUAUGCUUAGCCACAAACUUUUAAUUACACCCCAAACGCCCGGGAACUACGAGCAAAGCUUAAAACCCAAAGGACUUGACGGUACCCCAUAUCCCCCUAGAGGAGCCUGUCCUAUAAUCGAUAAUCCCCGUUUAACCUCACCACUUUUAGCCUUUCAGUCUGUAUACCUCCGUCGUCAGCUUACCACAUGAGUGAAAUAUAGUAAGUUUAAUGUCCUAUUAUACGUCAAUACGUCAGGUCAAGGUGCAGCUAAUAAAGUGGGAAGAGAUGGGCUACACUCUCUAAUUUAGAAUAUACAAAAGACUACUAUGAAAACUAGUCUAAAGGUGGAUUUAGUAGUAAAAAAAGACCAAAGUGCUUUUUUUAACUAGGCCCUGGGGUGUGUACACACCGCCCGUCACCCUCUUCGCAGCCAUAAUUUAGUAAUUAACAAAGUUUGCACCGUAGAAGAGGYAAGUCGUAACAUGGUAAGUAUACCGGAAGGUGUGCUUGGAAACAAAUUGUAGCUUAAAUAAAGCAUCUCGCUUACACCGAGAAAAUGCCUGAUAAACCCGGGCCACUUUGAGCUAAAAAUCUAGCCCUCCACCUCUUCAAAAUAACCCUAUAACUUAUUAAAGUAAACAAAUCAUUUUCCCAAUCAAGUACAGGCGAUAAAAAAAUUAACUGGAGCUAUAAAACUAGUACCGUAAGGGAAAGCUGAAAUAUAAGUGAAAUAAACACUUAAGCCUAAAAAAGUAAAGACUACCCCUUGUACCUUUUGCAUCAUGGUUUAACUAGUCCUAAUCAAGCAGAAAGAAUUUAAGUUUGACCCCCCGAAACUAAGUGAGCUACUCCAAGGCAGCCUUAUGGGCCAACCCGUCUCUGUUGCAAAAGAGUGGGAAGACCUUAGAGUAGGGGUGAUAGACCAAACGAACUUAGUGAUAGCUGGUUACCCGAUAAAAGAAUUUUAGUUCUACCUAAAGCCCCCUUGUAAAUUUUAUAAACUAAUAUUUAUGCUUUAGAGUUAUUCAAAUAAGGUACAGCCUAUUUGAGUAAGGAAACAACCUAAACUAAUGGGUUAAUUCUGCUACAGUGUACCAAAGUGGGCCCAAAAGCAGCCACCUUAAACAAUAGCGUCAAAGCUUUUCUACACAAGCGCACUCAAUUUCUCAACCCAAUCUAAACCCUUUAUUCACAUCGAGUAAUUCUAUACACCUAUAGAAUAUAAAAUGUUAAAACUAGUAACAAGAAGAAAACCCUUCUCUUAGAUGUGAGUGUAAGCCAGAAAGGAUAAACCACUGUCAGUUAACACUAAUGACACUUAAUUAGCAACACCACAAGAAAACCCUAAUAAAACAAGUGUUAAACUAACACAAGAACAUUUCAAGAAAGAUUAAAAGAAAAAGAAGGAACUCGGCAAACACCAACCCCGCCUGUUUACCAAAAACAUCGCCUUUUGACAAAUAUAAGAGGUCCAGCCUGCCCAGUGACCUAGUUCAACGGCCGCGGUAUCCUAACCGUGCGAAGGUAGCGUAAUCACUUGUUCUUUAAAUGAGGACUAGUAUGAAUGGCAUCACGAGGGUUACACUGUCUCCUUUUUUUAAUCAGUGAAACUAAUUUUCCCGUGAAGAAGCGGGAAUUUUUUUAUAAGACGAGAAGACCCUAUGGAGCUUUAAACAAUUUAACACUUGCUGCCCAAAAUAUUCCUCCCAGGAGCACAAGAUACAGCAUAGCAUUAUGAUUAAUAGUUUUUGAUUGGGGUGAUCACGGAGUAAAAAAUAACCUCCAUGUCGAAAGGGCCCCUCCCUGAGCACAAAGCCACAACUUUAAGCACUGAAAAAUUAACGUUUAUUGACCCAAUAUGUUGAUCAACGAACCAAGUUACCCUAGGGAUAACAGCGCAAUCCACUUCAAGAGCCCCUAUCGACAAGUGGGUUUACGACCUCGAUGUUGGAUCAGGGUAUCCUAGUGGUGCAGCCGCUACUAACGGUUCGUUUGUUCAACGAUUAAAACCCU